UAACAGCAACAAAGCUAACACAACGGCUACUAAACUUUCAAUUUUUUUUUUUCCCUCAUUAUUUUAUACCUAAAAUUUUGAAAUUUUAAAUUAAAGACUCCAAAUAUUUUAACCCCCACUGUUAGCUUAUUUACAAAUUAAAAAAACUUCAAAUUCCCCUUCUUCAAUUCAUAUGGUUAGGGUUUCCUCCAAUUUUGCAACCUGCCUUCUCCAUCCUUGAGAACCCGUCAUCCAUUGAUCGAAGUCCAUUAAAGUAGUACUCUGAAUCCUUUUCUCUCUGGUCCAAUGAAGUAAUACUCUGAAUCCUCUCCAUUCAAGUCGUAUUUUGAAUUCUCCAUUGAAGCUGUACAUUAAACUCAUCCCUGAAACGGCUUUUGAGCCUUUUGUUCUCCAUUGAAUCAGCUUCUUAGGAUUUAUGGAGGUGAUGGUGGUGGUGACGGUGGUCGCGGCAUCCAUUACGGCGCUUAGAUUUCUAGGAUUUCAGAUUAUAGCUAAGAAGAGAUUUAAGACUACCGCUCCUCUCCUCACUGCCACAUGCACGCUAGGACUAUUUUGGGAGCUCUAUUGAACUCCUGGCUCACUGCUGCUUCGUUCCACUUUGAUACCAUCUUUUGUGAACGUUUUUUACUUGGUGUGCUCCUUGUAUUUCCAUGUCUUCAUGUCCCCUUUAUGUCAUUCAAGUUUAUCUUUGCUCGAUGUUUUGGAAGCUGGGCAAAACAAAAGAUGUGUUCGUUGGUGGAGAUUAUGGUUGACCAUUGAAGGAUAAACGGUUAUGAUUGCUUUUGUUGAUGGCCUUCCCAGUUUGUUUGGGGGUUUUAUUGGGGGUGGGGGUUUUAUUGGGGGUGGGGGUGGUUUUCUGCCUCUCAGUGAAGUUUGAUCACAAAGCUUUGUCAAACUUAGAGCAAGAGUUAGAAGUAAAUAAAUCUUGAUGGUGUUUAUCUAAUUUUUUUAUUCCCUUUUGUUUUUAGUUGGUGCCUAACUGCCCCUAGUGGGUGGCAGGUGCCUUAUAAGCUCACUACUAGAAUAUAAAGUAAUGGCUCAUCGAUCAUCAACGCUUGGUCUUCCUCGAUUUUUUUUCUUUUUUGGCUCCUUACCUUUUGAAGCUGCCGGUGAUUCUACAUUAUAUAAUUUGGGAACAAAAGAUGCAAAGCUUUUAUUUCAGUCUAUUAAAUUUUUUUAAUAAUCUUCCUUAGUUAUUUAGCUAUGAAUUUUGAUGUUAAUUUAAAUAGUGAUAAUUUAUUUUAUAAUUUUCCCAAUGAAAACAAUGUAUAAACCCUUUAUUUUCAUUAAUGAAUUUUCAAUUUAAUAGUCUGGGUAUAUGCAUUGUGUGGCAUUAGAUUUAGGGAACCGUGACA